AUAUUUACCUGACAGGGAGAUACCAUAAUCACGAAGGUGGUUUUCCUAGGGUGAGUCUUAUCCAUUGCACUCUGGAUGUACUGAUCCCUGUGAUAUCCCCAAAAGUGGGAAACUAGAUUGCAUAAUAUGUGGUAGUGGGAACUGCUUUUGUACUCUCCGCU